rnacentral:rRNA from 1 species
AUUGAACGCUGGCGGCAGGCCUAACACAUGCAAGUCGAACGAGUGGCGGACGGGUGAGUAAUGUCUGGGAAACUGCCUGAUGGAGGGGGAUAACUACUGGAAACGGUAGCUAAUACCGCAUACCAUCGGAUGUGCCCAGAUGGGAUUAGCUAGUUGGUGGGGUAAAGGCUCACCUAGGCGACGAUCCCUAGCUGGUCUGAGAGGAUGACCAGCCAAACUGGAACUGAGACACGGUCCAGACUCCUACGUGAGGCAGCAGUGGGGAAUAGUGCACAAUGGGCGCAAUCCUGAGGCAGCCAGGCCGCGGGUAUGAAGAAGGCCUUCGGGUUGUAAAGUGCUUUCGGCGGGGAGGAGUUACCCGCAGAAGAAGCACCGGCUAACUACGUGCCAGCAGCCGCGGUAAUAC